rnacentral:rRNA from 1 species
GACGAACGCUGGCGGCGUGCCUAAUACAUGCAAGUAGAACGCACAGUUUAUACCGUAGCUUGCUACACCAUAGACUGUGAGUUGCGAACGGGUGAGUAACGCGUAGGUAACCUGCCUGGUAGCGGGGGAUAACUAUUGGAAACGAUAGCUAAUACCGCAUAAUAUUGAUUAUUGCAUGAUAAUUGAUUGAAAGAUGCUAUUGCAUCACUACCAGAUGGACCUGCGUUGUAUUAGCUAGUAGGUGAGGUAACGGCUCACCUAGGCGACGAUACAUAGCCGACCUGAGAGGGUGAUCGGCCACACUGAGACUGAGACACGGCCCAGACUCCUACGGGAGGCAGCAGUAGGGAAUCUUCGGCAAUAGACGAAAGUCUGACCGAGCAACGCCGCGUGAGUGAAGAAGGUUUUCGGAUCGUAAAGCUCUGUUGUAAGAGAAGAACGGGUGUGAGAGUGGAAAGUUCACACUGUGACGGUAUCUUACCAGAAAGGGACGGCUAACUACGUG